rnacentral:tRNA from 1 species
GCCGGGGUAGCUCAGCUGGUAGAGCAGAGGACUGAAAAUC